rnacentral:rRNA from 1 species
UAGGGAAUCUUCGGCAAUGGGGGCAACCCUGACCGAGCAACGCCGCGUGUGUGAAGAAGGUUUUCGGAUCGUAAAGCUCUGUUGUAAGAGAAGAACGUGUGUGAGAGUGGAAAGUUCACACAGUGACGGUAACUUACCAGAAAGGGACGGCUAACUACGUGCCAGCAGCCGCGGUAAUACGUAGGUCCCGAGCGUUGUCCGGAUUUAUUGGGCGUAAAGCGAGCGCAGGCGGUUUAAUAAGUCUGAAGUUAAAGGCAGUGGCUUAACCAUUGUUCGCUUUGGAAACUGUUAAACUUGAGUGCAGAAGGGGAGAGUGGAAUUCCAUGUGUAGCGGUGAAAUGCGUAGAUAUAUGGAGGAACACCGGUGGCGAAAGCGGCUCUCUGGUCUGUAACUGACGCUGAGGCUCGAAAGCGUGGGGAGCAAACAGG